AGGUAGCAUAAUCAUUUGUUAUCUAAAUGAUAACUAGUAUGAAGGGUCUGACGAGAAAAUAACUUUCUAAAAAGAAAUAAUAAAAAUUUAUCUUAAAGUAAAAAAGCUUUAAAAACUUAGAAAGACGAGAAGACCCUAGAACCUGUCUAUCUGCAUAGUUUGUUGGGGUGACAUUAUUUUAAAACAAAUAACUAUUUUAACUCAUUAAGAGACUUAACCUAUCUUUUUUAAAAAAAAAAAAGGUACUCUAGGGAUAACAGCAUAAUCUUCUUUUAGAGCCCUAAUCGACAAGAAAGAUUUUGACCUCGAUGUUGAAUUGAUAUUCCUUCUUAAAGCAGAAUU
rnacentral:rRNA from 1 species